rnacentral:pre_miRNA from 14 species
UUCCAGCCCAUCCACAGUGAAAGACCCCCGGAGCAGGGAGACCCUCACUCAAGUCUCGGGAUGAUGCGACCCCCCAAGAACUCACAUGAGACC